rnacentral:lncRNA from 1 species
AGGGAAUGGUUUCUCUCUCUUCCGCUGGACUUUAACAAGCAAGCACAUGACGGGCUUCAUCAGUCCUGGACGAGAAAGCUGAGAUGAAAAUAACUUGAGUCUUGGAUGAAAUCAGUGACCCUAUGAUAUCAUCACAUCUAGAGCUGACUCUAACUGGACUUCCAGCUAUUUCCAGGACAUAUUCAAGCAGAGUUUGGAUAACCACCUGCCAAAGAUCUGUAUUGGGUGGGAAGUUGGUUCAUACCUGUCUUAAUUGUCCAAGAUUCUAUUCUUCACCUAGAUUAUCUCUGUAAAUCAUGAAGUGCUUACUAAAAGUAUUAUAUCCAAAUGAAUAUUCAAGUAAAAAUAUAAACAAUAAAAUAAUAGAGAAUGCUAAUAACAGUGCUAAAUACUGUGUAUACAUCAUUUUUAAUUAGUACUGACAAUCUCGUAAGUUAGGUAUUACUUCUAUACCUUUUUUUUUUUUUCAGCUGAGAAAAACAGACCCAAAGAAGCUAUGCCUUGCUUGAGGUCACAUAGCCAGCUAUUGAACCUAAGUCUGUCAUACAUCAAAGCCAUGCUCUUAAUGAAUUAGGAAAGAAUCUUAAGGAAUCAUCUGAUUCAGCUCCUUAUUUUAUAAAGGAGGGACUUUUCCCAUCACACAAUGAUACAUGAACAUUAUACAUCCUCUUAAUUAUGUUCUCAGUAUCUUUUGUUCUUGAGAUUUUAGACUCAAUGUACUUACAAGCAGAAUAUGAUCAUACUUCAUUAGCCCAUCAGCAGCUACGAGGAUGACAAGGUUGCUAUACUAAGGAAAUCACACUCUGUUCAACUCCAGGCAUCACCAUGGCAUAGCACUG